GAGUUCAAUGUCUUUACAUGUGAAAAAGUAAGCGAACCAGAAACGUUCAAAUAUUUUCAACGCAGUAGGUUCGUUAAAAUUGUGAAUACUUCGAAGUGAAAAUAUUGAAAUAGGAUAUAAAAAUAUUUUUUGAAACUUCGAAGAUUUUAGGACUUCCCUGCGUUGUAUUAAUUAACUGCAUAAGGACAAAUCUUAUUUAAUAUGGGUAAACAGAACGUGUGCUGAUUUGAAGGGGAUUUCAAAUGAAACAGCGAUUGAAAAAAUGAAAAAUGGUGAACCGGUUUACCGAGUAGUGUCCCUUUGAGGAGGUUUAAAUGCCGUGAACUGAGAUACAUACGGGGUUUAAUCGUGUUACUUGCGUUUCAUUCAGUUUCAUCAGUAAAUGGCACUUGGUCUGGUUGGAGCAGGUGGGGUUCCUGCAGUGAAACAUGUGGCGUAGGGAUACGUCUAAAAACAAGAAUCUGUGCAAAUUCUAACUCACUAAUACUUGGAAAACGCUGCAACGGGACGUCUGUAGAAGUUGGCCUCUGCAACAAACAUGCUUGUCCAGAUAACAUGAUAGCAUUUACGGCAUAUGGAAAAGCAAGCGGUACUAACAAGAAGAUUGUAUUCCCAAACGUGCUAUUGAAUUACGGCGGAGGUUAUAACAAUACCACGGGAAUAUUUACUUCUUCGACACCUGGAAUCUACCACUUCGCAGUUUCUUUGAUUAAAAAAUACAACAUGAAGGACUCUGUACUUCGUUGCUAUUUAAAUAUAAACAAUUCGAAAAAACUUAACAUUGAUGGACGCAAAGUAAUUGAUAACGAGAUGAUGGAGUUUUCAGCCACUGCAUCUGUUCAUCUUAACAAAAGUGACAUUGUUUACAUUUUAGACGAUUUGUUUGUACUUUUAGAUGCAAACAAUGAUAAAAGCAGUUCAUUUACAGGGGCCCUUGUCACCCCAGACAUAUAAUUUUCAAAAUGUUGUUUUUUUUCUAAACUUUGCGUUUCGCAGAAUGAAAAUGAGAAAAAUCUAAAAUAUUACACCUAAGCAAUAGAAGAAAUUUGUUAUUACAUGUUAUUUAAUAUAUGAUAUAUUAAUUGAAACAUGUGUAUUUCAAAAUCGUCAAAUGAAAUAAAAUAUGUCGACAAUCGGAUUACUUUUAGAAGUUUUAAGGAUCCGAGGGCGAGCAUCCUGCUAAAUUUUCUAUCACACUACUUCAUGUUUUGAUUGACAUCUGCCUCAUUUUCUCGUUCUGUAGUAAAUGGAUCGUUAGUAGUGCCUAACUUAAAAUAGAUAACGACCUGACGAGGCUGUUUAACCUAAAUAAUCUAGGUUUGGUUGUGCACAAAAUCUUAACAGAAUAAUAAAGACAAGGAGUCAGGUUCAGCAACCCGUUUUAUGGAUUGAUUUAAAAACAUGUUGUCGUAGCAAAGGGCUCUAACUUAUGUGUUCAGGCGGGCAUCUGAACGUAUGUUGAUUAAUGAAUGAAUGAAAGUAACUAACAGCGACCUCAUACUGUUGUUCCUGAUUGACUUAAGAAAUAUAUUUCAACUACAUUAUGAGUUAAAUCUUAAUAGUUCAUGGUCGUAUGAUGGUGGCUAAUGAGUACGACAGAAAUUAAGACGUCAAUGCAAUUCAACAGCUGGAACAAUAGUUGUUUCAACGGCAUCAAUGACUACCUCACAUAGAAAACAAUACGAUUAACUCGUACGUAUGUAUAGACAAAAUCUUCGAAAAACAUUUUUCAUUUUGCAGCCGGAUCGAUAACGGCAAAUCCAGUAACCAGUUUAAGACAUGACAUCAAUAUGACUAUGGUGCCUGUUUUUAAUUUUCUCGUUUGGCAGUUCCUUUAAAAUUUCAGUUUAUUUAGAUCUUCCCAUUGCUUUCUCGUUUAGGGCAAAUCCAUUAUGUUAACUGGGGACAAUACACCGCUUUUGAUGGAAUUACACGCUAGUGUAUCAUUGAAGGUUCCAUGUGCACCGCCGUUUGAACACAUAUGCAGACAUCUCUUAAUUGCAUUUUGUACUUGUACCGGGGCUAGAGGGCGUGGACGGUAGUAAUCAUUCAUUUCCACUACCGUCCAUGAACAGGCUCAAUCAAACUGAGCCUGCAACAUUUUCGGUCUUGUCGUGUUGAGCGACCUGUGGAGUUUCCACUGAAUCUAUUUCAAUGCGUCAUAGUAAUAUUGGACGAAAAUCAAAUUUCUUACAGCACAUGAUAUACAAAAUGUAGCAGAAAAAAUGAUCACCGAAUACGCCUCUCACGCAAUGACCUCGCGGACUGACAAAAUUGAUAAACGGUAAGAGUAGCUGAUUUCAAUUACUUCAACAACUGUUGGUUCAAAACAAAAAGACAAUAAAAUACUUAAUUUUUUUACAGUACAUGGAACUAACUCAAAUUCCUUUCCAACAUGUGUCUUAAAUAGUACAAAAAUUUACAUGUUUAUUAUUUCGAUGCACAGAUCAACAACUGUAUCAUAAGCACGCAUUCAAUGUUUUCAAACCCUUUAUCACAUACAUUACAAUAACCAUACCUUUGCAUAUUAUUUGGCCGCCUUCCGAGAUUAAUACGAAUUCUGUUGGAAAUUAAAUGAAGAAAACAUACCUAUUGAUACGUCCAAAAAUCAUAAAUAUGAUCCCUAAAAAUAAACAGUCACGCAAAUUACGUGCGAUUCAAUACAUUCACGGCUAUCCACGAAAAUUCAUCUUCUUUUAUCUAAGAGAGUAAACAGGAGUUGUCAGCGAGUAAUCACAUGUGUGUCUAUAUUGGGGAGACAGCAGUAAUUUUUGGUUUGGUAAGUUAAACUAAAUCAACAAAACAUACUAUAAAUUUCAAUGCAUAUUCUAUGCUACAAAAACGAGGUUUUAUUGAAGCAAAGCAAAUACCUGAUGUUCAUUUGUCAAAAACAAUAUUCGGUCAUGGCACAACAGGUUAAAUAUAAAAAUCGUGUAUUUAAAAACGGCGCGUGAAUUGUCUUCUUUUACAUGGUUUUUCAACCGUUGAUUCAAGCCCGAAUAUCUUCACGCCUGCAUUUAUCUCAGAGUUGAAUAAUAUCGGACUUGAAUCUACUACUUUUAAAAUGAUUACAGUAUCAAGGAUAACAAUCGGAAAUGAAUUUAUUAGCCGUAACUGUAACUAUAAGGUAAUAACCUUUAAUCUAAUGUCACAUAAUCUGUAAAGCUCAAAUGACAACAGUACACAUUGAACGUAUCGAACUCACGAAAGUAAAAUUAUUCUUACUAAUUUUUUCAACUUCGUUUAAUAAAUAUUUUCACUAUCUACGUGUACAUUUUAUUUAACGUGUGUGACGUCACUUGUGACACUGAAUUAAUCGAUAAAAUAUGCACUUGCAAAAUAACAUCCGAUGGCAGGAUAUAUAAUAAGAGCAUAUUUUAUUUAUUACAGUACCGCAAGAUGACGCUGUUUGCCGCGGAGAGACUAGCACUGUUGUGAUUUUCUAUUUUUAGUAUAUCUUACAGCAACUGUCACGGCUCAAUGAAUUUGCGGAAAAUAGUUAGCGUCGUUAGUAAGUUUAAUAACAUACGGGUAUCCAAUUUUCGUUCGAAUCUGGCCAAUUUUGGCAGAGAUAUGUACGGAAAAACAGUACUUUGGAAUGAGUAUAAAACAAAAGGCGGAUGUUUUGUAUUUGUGAAAUAAGAAUUCCGGUAUUAAUCUGAUUUUGAGAUACACAGUGAAACAGAGGACUAUAUCACUAAUCGAAUUUCCUGUUCCAUUAAAAGGAACAAGCGCAUUUCCAUUCAUUCACUAAACAUAGGAAAGAUGACCAAAGAGGUUCCGAUUGGGUUCCAGAUGAACAUCAGGCGGAUUCAGCAAUGCAAAGGGACCGGCACUGCACCUUACCAAGUCUUGAUUAUGUGACAGAAAGAUGCCGGGGUAUGAUGUCUUGCUGCGCAUCUAUAAGCUUUUGUAUAUUUGAACGUUUAAAUGAAUGUUUGCAAGUUCCAGGUUUCGGAAUUUUGCUAUUUUCUGUCGGCAUAACAGUUGGAAUUCUUUAUUACUUUGUCGCAAGUUUGGGAAGAAGCAUUAUAGGUGUCGCUCUGGUUGUGAAGUACUUUAAAGACGAUUACAAUGCGACAGAAAAUCAAAUUGGUAUUGCUUUUUUUCAUACAAUAAAGGGAUCUAUAGACCUUCUAACGGCAGUUUCUGUUGUAUGUAAAGUUCGUCAAAGACAUGUAUACAUAGUGUUGUGUACUGGAACUUUGCUUUGUUUAUUGUAUGGGUCAGUGGAAUUAUGGAGAGAAGUUCCAUGCGAUGAUGUCAGCUGUGAUAAAAAUGUUAAACGUGUGUCUAGUUAUUUUGCCAUAUUUGAUUGGUUUAUGUUUUUCUGUUUGAUUAUUCUUAUGUGCAGUCCGAGAGAAGAGUUAUAUGAUUAAAUGAAUUGUAACUCAGUUACGUUAAAAUAUAAUUCUAACAUGUUUCGAUUCGACUGCCGGUUAUUUAGUAAAUGAAAUAUAACUCAGUUACGUUAAAAUAUAAUUCUAACAUGUUUUGAUUCGACUGCUGGUUAAACGAGGAAGAAAUUCAAGCUCUGUAUAUUCUGCGAUAAACAACGGUUGAUGCGCGGACAUGUAAGAGAACAUUAUAACGUCAGUUAUUACGUCAGAUUGCUGCGUAACGUCCGGUUCUUUACUACUCAGAUGAAUGAAGACCAACAUAAAUUUCAUCAAAAUAUUUCAUCGAACAUGUAAGAAUGAAAAAAAAAAUCAAGACCUUCUUGUGAUUUGACGUUUAAUUUACCACGGUUCAUCGUUCAGAUUCUUAGGUAGCAAGGUACAUUUAGAUGCGAAAAUUUUGGGCACGGACGGUCUUACAUGUAGCGAGUCGCAAUAUUGCACUUCCCCUAUGGGCAAAAUUUGGGUGGCUAUUUUAUAACUUGCGUGCAUGUUUUGUACUUUAAAUUAAUGGCAAGAUCAGGAUUCUCAUACAAGAAUAAAGAAAGUUAUCAAAGCGAAAGAUUUACAUCAUCCAUUAAAAAUAGCGUGCCAAAAUCAUCAAUUUUGCACCUUUUGAACAGUCUACAAUGAUCCUGCUGCAAGAACACUGUCCAGUUUUAUUGCAUUUCUUAAUUUAAUAGUCCUUACUGAACGUCAGGACAUAAACGGAAUGGGGGCCCAGCCAGCUCGUUUUUUCGGAAAAUAACGAAAAUGUUCCUGAGUAUCAAUCAACAAGCACAGAACCCUUCCGUGAAUUGAACUUUUCCGCGAAAUGGUGUCUCAUUGAUCAUACAAAGCUACCAGCAGUUAGUAUUCCAACUGACAUCAGAAUUUUACAUGUAUCGGCUGUAUAAAUUUUCUAAAGAAUUAAUAAUCAUUAUCUCUCACCUUAAUUUACAGACAUCCAAAAUCACGAUGUUCUCUUUAUAACAAAUAUUGACGGGGGCCAAAAUUCGAAAGUGUACCCUGCUACCUUAGAUAUUAAACCGCUCGGGACUAACGCCCUCGUGGUUUAGUUCCUGUGUAUCUGAACUGUAAACCGUGAUAAAUUAGACGACAAUCUACUCGAAGGUAAAUGAACAGAAGAAUCGAAAAACACAAAAUUGUCUACUUUUAUCAGCACGCGAGAUACAUGUAAUAUGUCAUUUGCGUCUUUUAGUAUUCUAAUGUAGGGAUCAUUAUAGCUUUGUUUAAAAAGAAGUUGUUUGUUAUUAACAUACAUUAUAAUUAUGUCUCCCCAUACAUCGGAAAGAAAUAUUGAUUUGUGCAGUCUGUCAGUCAGUCUGUUUAUCUGUCCGUAUAAUUAUCACAAACGUUUUUUGGACUACUUUCCUGAAACUUCUGGUUGAAUUUCAACCGAACAAUUAAGCAUUGAAGAAAAGUUCGGUAUCAAGGCUAUUGUCGCAUAUCAUUGGUUUUUUCCGGUUGGCUGAAUUUUUUUUUGAGUUAUGGCACCUUUAAGGUAGUUUUAAUUGUAGUCAUUUUGGACUAUUUCUCCUAUAUUACAGCAUCAUUUCUUCAUCAGUUCUGUUUAUGUUUACACGGAAUAUGUGAAUUCCAUAAAACCUUUCUUUAUGAUUAUAAUAGGCCUGAUCAGAAUGGUAUGUUUAGAGUGUUUUCGCCCUUGAUUCAUCAAAAAUGCCGUAUUUCACCAUAUUUAUGCUUGAGCAGAUUCAUUUCGUAACCGAACAUAAUUAUUCUUAUACAGAAUAUGUAUACCAAUGAGAACUCUCUCAUAUUCGAAUAUGGGCCAGAUAAGAUUAGUAGAUUGCGAGUUAUGUGCCCUAGAAUUAUCAAGAAGAUGCUAUAUUUUACUGUUUUCAGUCUAUAUUACCUAACUUUCUCAGCGUCAUGUUUACACUUAUAAAAGCAAAUCAAGCCGGAGUACUGGUAUGGUCAGAGUUGUGUUGUCUAGAUUUAAUGAACAUGUGUAUUAACUUUUAUAAUGGAAUUAACUUUUAUAAUUUAUGCGUUGAAACACUUGUAUUAUUAAACACACAUAUACCAAACUUGGAAUGUUAAUUCAUGGGUGAGAAUGUUUUACGUAGGUUGGGUCUUUGUGUACUUGAUCUUGAUUUAAGAGCGAUUGUAAUUAGCCAAUGGGUCACAACAGUCCUCCUUUUUUGCCUUUGUUGAUUAAUUAUCCUGUAUCCAAUAUCUUGUUUACAUUUGUCAGAUUUCCUUUCUAUUUUCUCGGAAAUUAACUUGUGACACAAGCAUAGUACUGCUUAACAUUCAUGUUUGUCUUUCCUCCAACAUAUACCUUCGUGUUUAAAUUAAGCGGUAUGGAGAGAAAUUCCCUGUUUCCAUAGGCGAUCUUUAGUUUGAUUUUAUUUUCGAUUUCACCUAAUUUUCACCGCAUAUUUGUCAUAUGUUUAAUCUUUGAUUAACAUAGUUCACGCCUUGAAUCCUUUACUUUGUAUUACCUCCCUUUAUUGCUCUUGCAAUAUAUGGUUAUGUGCAGCAUUGAAAGUAGCGUUUUCCCAACCAUGUAGUUAUGAAUAUUCCCUAUUUUGACAGCUGUUUUAUCUGCUUUUUUUACAUUAAACGAUUUCGAAAAAUAAACGAUGAUUAAUACAUGA